GUUGCAAUGAGCCGAGAUUGUGCCAUUGCACUCCACCUGGGUGACAAGAGUGAAACUUCAUCUCAAAAACGAAAAGAAAAGAAAAAAGAAAGAAAGAAAAUGAAAAUACAACAUAGCAAAAUUUGAGAGACAUAAGUAAAGCAGUGUUGAGUGGGCAAUUCAUAGCACUAAAUGCACACAUAAGAAAAUAAGAAAAAAUAAGAAGUCUCAAAUCAAUAAUCUAAACUACAUCAAGAACCUAGAAAAAGGGCAAGUUGGUCAAGAAAAAUGAAAUAAUAAUAAACAGAAAUCAAUUAAAUUGAGAACAGGAAAACAAUAGAGAAAAAUCAAUGAAACAAAAAGUUGAGUCUGUUCUUUGAUCAAUAACACUGACAAACCUCUAGGAAGAAUGACAAAAAAAAAAAAAAAA